rnacentral:rRNA from 1 species
GUAGGUGGCAAGCGUUGUCCGGAAUUACUGGGUGUAAAGGGAGCGCAGGCGGGUGAUCAAGUCAGCUGUGAAAACUACGGGCUUAACCCGUAGACUGCAGUUGAAACUGUUCAUCUUGAGUGAAGUAGAGGUUGGCGGAAUUCCGAGUGUAGCGGUGAAAUGCGUAGAUAUUCGGAGGAACACCGGUGGCGAAGGCGGCCAACUGGGCUUUAACUGACGCUGAGGCUCGAAAGCGUGGGGAGCAAACAGGAUUAGAUACCCUGGUAGUCCACGCGGUAAACGAUGAUUACUAGGUGUCGGGGGUUUAAAACCUUCGGUGCCGCCGCAAACGCAAUAAGUAAUCCACCUGGGGAGU